CCUACGGGGGGCUGCAGUAGGGAAUCUUCGGCAAUGGACGCAAGUCUGACCGAGCAACGCCGCGUGAGUGAAGAAGGUUUUCGGAUUGUAAAACUCUGUUGUUAGAGAAGAACAAGGAUGAGAGUGGAAAGUUCAUCCCUUGACGGUAUCUAACCAGAAAGCCACGGCUAACUACGUGCCAGCAGCCGCGGUAAUACGUAGGUGGCAAGCGUUGUCCGGAUUUAUUGGGCGUAAAGCGAGCGCAGGCGGUCUUUUAAGUCUGAUGUGAAAGCCCCCGGCUUAACCGGGGAGGGUCAUUGGAAACUGGGAGACUUGAGUGCAGAAGAGGAAAGCGGAAUUCCAUGUGUAGCGGUGAAAUGCGUAGAUAUAUGGAGGAACACCAGUGGCGAAGGCGGCUUUCUGGUCUGUAACUGACGCUGAGGCUCGAAAGCGUGGGGAGCAAACAGGAUUAGAUACCCCAGUAGUC
rnacentral:rRNA from 1 species